rnacentral:rRNA from 1 species
GACGAACGCUGGCGGUGUGCUUAACACAUGCAAGUCGAACGGAAAGGCCCUGCUUUUGUGGGGUGCUCGAGUGGCGAACGGGUGAGUAACACGUGAGUAACCUGCCCUUGACUUUGGGAUAACUUCAGGAAACUGGGGCUAAUACCGGAUAGGAGCUCCUGCUGCAUGGUGGGGGUUGGAAAGUUUCGGCGGUUUGGGAUGGACUCGCGGCUUAUCAGCUUGUUGGUGGGGUAGUGGCUUACCAAGGCUUUGACGGGUAGCCGGCCUGAGAGGGUGACCGGCCACCAUGGGAACGAGAUACGGGCCAGACUUCUACGGGAGGCAGGAGUGGGGAAUAUUGCACAAUGGGCGGAAGCCUGAUGCAGCAACGCCGCGUGCGGGAUGACGGCCUUCGGGUUGUAAACCGCUUUCGCCUGUGACGAAGCGUGAGUGACGGUAAUGGGUAAAGAAGCACCGGCUAACUACGUG